UUCAGACUCUUCUCUUUCGUUUUCACAAUUUUGUCGAUCCAAGAUUCUGCAGUUCUCCCUUAUCAACCCACUAUAAAACAUUCAUUUAUGUUUUUUUACUCUUUCUUCAUGAUUCCAUUUCACCUUCUUUGUUUCUCCUCAUAUAUAAAUCUAUUCAUCUAAUGUUACAUUCAAGAAAAUCUACAACCUCCACAAAAGAAGAUAAAUCUUUGGCCAUGAGCUCUUUUAAAUCCACCCGGAGAUCUUCUUUUACACUAUAUAUAAGAUUUUUAUUGGAUAUAGAAGAAGCUGAUAGGUUUUGAAUCGUUCACAAGUUCGAUUUCUGUCCGUUGGUAGUUAUAGAACAAGUGGGGCUGUUGAAGUUCUUGAUGUGGUGAUAUGAGGCUCCUCCUCCAACACUUCUCCUUCCCACCAUUUCCAUCCCCUACCAAGCGCAAUAUCUAGAAGUGUAAAGGUAGAAGAGGAGUCUUUGAUGAUGUAAUGGAAGUUCUGCAUCAGCAUUGGAAGCACAAGAAGGUUGCAUUUUUUUAAAGACUUCGAAGCAAACUGUGAUUUAAGGAGGAAUCUCUACGAACUACAAACGUCCUUCAUCAAAACUGAUGGCACAUAAUCUUUUGAGGAAAAGAACAGUGUACAAAGUCACUGAAGUUCUUUGCUUACCAGAGAAAGCGCCAUUGAAGAUAUGAAGGAGUUUGGUAGAUCUUCAAGACUAUGCUUUUGAGUAAUGUUGAUGCAAGUUGGAGCUGUAACAAAAUUAGGUUCGCCUAGAUCACAUUAUUUUUCAUUUACUAUGGUAUUAUAAGAAUUACAAAAAUGAGAAGUUUGGCAAGUAUCGUGGAUCGCCUAGAUCUAUACCUUGAAGUGUGACUGGAGCAGAAACAGUAGUUGCAACAUCAACGACGAGAAUGACGAGGGAGUCUAGCAUAAAUUUAUCCAAACUAUUUUUAUAUUCUCUGUUUUUGCAUAUUUUUUAUAUAUUAAAUGACUUGUGAAGUUUGAGGCACUCUCCUUCCAAGCAUGUGUUGUGUUUUCGUAAAGUUGGGUUUUAAAUUUUUAAUACG